rnacentral:rRNA from 1 species
UACGAACUGUGCGAACGUUAUUCGGAAUCACUGGGCUUACAGGGUGCGUAGGCGGCUUGUUAAGUAGGGUGUGAAAGCCCCCGGCUCAACCGGGGAAUUGCGCCCUAAACUGGCGAGCUGGAGUGAGAUAGGGGUGUGUGGAACUUCCGGUGGAGCGGUGAAAUGUGUUGAUAUCGGAAGGAACGCCGGUGGCGAAAGCGACACACUGGAUCUUGUCUGACGGCUGAGGCACGAAAGCCAGGGGAGCAAACGGG